CAAAACCUGAAAUAAUUUUUUAGGAUGCUGGUUUCUGAUUUAAUAUCUUAAACUUGCUGCAGAUGUUGGGGAUGUGCGCGCAUCUGGUUAGUGUUGCUGUCAUAAACGGAAGAAAGGAUGGGGACAAUAAACGAUUUUCCUGCUUACGGGAAUUUGUCAGGAUAUUCCACAAAGGGAAAGAAAGCGUGUCCAGUAUGUGGUGUUCAAACAUCCUCUCAAUGGCUGCCAAAUGGAAGAAAGCAUGCAUAUAUGUGCCAUAGGAGAUUUCUUGCACAUGAUCAUCCAUAUCGGCAUAACAAAACUUGGUUUAAUGGAACUGAGGAACAUAGAGUGAGGCCUAGAAAGCUAACUGGUUCAGAGGUAUUUCAGGUGGUGAAGAAUAUUAACAAUAAUUGGGGUAAGGAGGCUAAGUGUUGCACAAGAAAAAAGAAAAAAAAGGUUGGCAGCAGUAACAAUAGAAAAAGGAGAAGAACUGAAGGUAUAAAAAGUUCAGUCAAUCAAAUGGAGGAUGAUUCCUACGACAAUUCAGAUGAUGAUGGUGAUGAUGACAGUGAGGAUCCUUUAAAGCCUUCGAAGAGAUGGAAGAAGAAAUCAAUGUUUUUUGAGUUACCAUAUUGGGAGACUUUGUUAUUGCGACACAAUUUAGAUGUGAUGCACAUUGAAAAAAAUAUAUGUGAGAGCAUCAUUGGCACUUUACUCAACAUGAAGGGAAAGACAAAGGAUAACUUGAAUUGUCGGAAAGAUUUAAAAGUGAUGGGUAUUAAAAAGAAAUUGCACCCAAAAGAAAAUGGUUCCAGCAACUCUAAAAGUGAUGCAGCACCUUACGUGCUUUCAAAGAAGGAGAAGAAGAUAUUUUGUAAAAGGUUAGCCAAGUUAAGAUUGCCAGAUGGGUAUUGUUCCAAUCUUGCAAAUCGUGUCUCUUUACAAGACAACAAGAUCAUGGGUUUGAAGUCACACGAUUGCCACGUUUUGAUACAACAGAUUCUUGCAGUAGCUUUAAAAGGACUUCUGCCUAAAGGACCAAGAAUUGCAAUUUUUCGCUUGUGUUCUUUUUUCCAUCAGUUGUGUCAGAGAGAGAUUGAGAAGAAAACUAUAGGUGUUCUUGAUGAAGAAAUUGCAGAAACUAUGUGUAUGUUUGAAAGGUUUUUUCCUCCCUCUUUCUUUGACAUUAUGGUUCACCUACCGAUUCACCUUGCACAAGAAGCUCUAAUUGGUGGCCCUGUACAUUAUCGUUGGAUGUACCCCUUCGAAAGGUUUAUGAAGGACCUAAAAGGAUAUGUCAAAAAUCGAUCAAACCCUGAAGGAUGCAUUGCAGAAAAGUAUUUGGCUGAAGAGGUGACACGUUUUUGUAGUGGAUACAUUAAAGGAGCAGCUGAAAUAGGUGUUCAAACUAGACGCAAUGAGGAUUUUGAGCAUGAAACAAUACUAGAAGGGCGACCACUUGGUGAGGGGAAGCUAAAAGUGUUCAGUUCUUCCAUGCUAGAGAUUGCUCAUCGAUUUGUGUGGACAAAUAGUUCAGAAGUUGAUCCAUGGAGAGAACUACACAGGGAAGAACUAAAGUGUUUUGAUACACGUCUUAAACAAGAUGAAAACCUUCUUGAACAGAGACAUCUUAGUACUUUUAGUGGAUGGUUAGCUGAUAAAGUUAAAUUUGGUGAUUCUAGAAAUAUGUCAGAAACGGUGAAAUGGAUUGCUUGUCGACCAAAAGCAGAUGUGGUAUCACAUACAGGCUUCAUUAUCAAUGGAAAUCGAUUUCAAACUGAGGACAGUGAGAAGAGCACACAAAAUAGUGGUGUUUUUGUUGAAGCAGACACUGUGUCGAGCAAGUGCAAAGGAUAAUUUACAAAAGAUGGACAGAGUCUCCUACUAUGGUGUUAUAAGAGAUAUAGUUCUUCUAGACUAUCGUCAAUUUCAGGUCCCCUUAUUUGAUUGUUAUUGGGCUAACAUAGGGACCGGUAUCAAAUUGGAAGAUGGUUUUACAUUAGUGAACUUCCACAAGGGGCAGCAUCAGUUUGAUAGAGAUCCAUUUAUUUUUGCUUCCCAAGCGAAACAGGUUUUUUAUUCAAGAGAGAGUGACACAUCGAAUUGGCAUGUUGUACUCAGAGCUCCGCCAAGAGGCUUUUUUGAGAAUGAUAGUGUUGAUGAAAGUGCUUACAUGCCAGUAGAUAUAUCACAGCUAUACCUUGACGUUGAGGAUGAAGAAUGUGAUAGAUAUGAUAAUGAGGAAAUCAAUUCGAGUGACGGUGACUGAAUAACUCAAAUUCCACUGAAGCAUUGAUAUAAUCUAUCAGCACAGCAAUCUAAGGAACAUAUUCUGUUGAUCCUAUAAAGUAUGGAUGGAGGAGAGACUUCAAAACAAGGUGGAAAGAGAGCCAAAAAGCAGGAAAAAGCUGCAAGAGCUGCUGUUGUUGCAGCCAGGGAAGAAAGGAAUGAAUCUUUGAGAAUCUCUAAUGGAAGUUCAAAUUCAACCCCUGCAGAAGAUGAUAUUCCAGAAGUCCAAGCUACAUCAAACCCAGAAAAGAAAAAAAUUCCACCUCGGGGUAAAGCCAAAUUAUUGGAUAUUGGCAAAAAAAAAAAGAAAACGUCCUAUUCUAGUUGAAUUCAA